GCCCGGAUGGCGAAAUCGGUAGACGCAUGGGACUUAAAAUCCCUCGGGGGUAACCCCGUGCCGGUUCGACCCCGGCUCCGGGCACCA
rnacentral:tRNA from 1 species